GGUGUGUAGGUUGGUCAUGCCUCCGGUAUGUACUGAUCUCACUGAUUCCUCCUUCCUUAUGAACCGUAAUGCCAUUAAUUUGGUGUUGCGGGGAAUUUGGACUGUUACUUUGAAAAAUUAGAGUGUUUAAAGCAAGCUAACGCUUGGAUACAUUAGCAUGGAAUAAUGAAAUAGGACGUUCGAUCUUAUUUUGUUGGUUUCUAGGAUUGACGUAAUGAUUAAUAGGGAUAGUUGGGC
rnacentral:rRNA from 1 species